rnacentral:lncRNA from 11 species
GUAUUGCUGGGUGGCUGUUCUAUCUGAAGCUGGAAGAAGAGACGGCGGAGCCUUGGAAGCGCCGCCUCUCCUCCUCCUCCUCUUCUUCCCUGCAAGGCCCGGCCUCGGCCAGCGGACGUCGCCCUCUCCCCGAGGCCUGCUCCGGCUCUGGAGGGAGGAGAGACGAGGAGAGAGGAGGAGGAGCAGCAGCUCCAGCAGCAGCAGCAGCAACGGUGGCAUCCCCGCCGCCAGCAGGGGCCGGAAUCGUUUCCUGGGGAAAGCGCAGCAGGCUGGGAAAGCGUUUCCGGAGGCUGCGAAGGAGGAGGAGAAGAGGGGAGCCCGGCUCGGCGGCUGCGUGCUUCCAGAUUAAUUACAACAGGAUAUCAUCUUGAUCCAUUUGUGCUACUGUUGCUUCUAUCAAGGGCUUAAAAACAGGGCCUUCGACCAAAGCCUUCACCAAAGACUGGGGCGCGUAAGUAUUCAAUACAGUGUUUUAUAUUUUUCUUAAAUGUAAUUGUGGUGCAGAUUAACAGUAUUGCCCUAAUAAACUAUGUUUACAAUUUAAAACUGCUAUUUAACAAGCCAGGAUAGCAAUUCCAAAAUCAUGUGUGUAUUCUGAUGAUAAACCAGGCCUCGAGGGGGGAAUAUGUAGCUUAGUUUUUCUUGCUCUGAGAAAUCCCAGGUUCUUAGUUUGGCUGUUGCUUCAGUUCAGAUGUGAUAACAAACUAUGAUUUCUGCUAACCAGGAUUUGGAAGGGCUUAUCUACUUUCACUUUCCAUCUUUUUGUUAUUCCAGUCUUUAAAUCAGGAUUCAGCAAAGUGCAGUCCUAGGAUUGCAAGCAGUUUCUGAAUAGAUUUCUUUCCACUGUUUUUGUUUUACGCAUUUUUGAGGUUCAUGCAGCCCCCAAUUGGUCCAGGGAAGGAAAAAUUGUC